rnacentral:rRNA from 1 species
CAGAGGGGGCAAGCGUUAUUCGGAAUUAUUGGGCGUAAAGGGCGCGUAGGCGGCUUUUCAAGUGACGGGUGAAAUCCCUCGGCUUAACCGAGGAACUGCCUGUCAGACUGGAAGGCUUGAGACCGGGAGAGGUGAGUGGAAUUCCCAGUGUAGCGGUGAAAUGCGUAGAUAUUGGGAGGAACACCAGCGGCGAAGGCGGCUCACUGGACCGGAACUGACGCUGAGGCGCGAAAGCGUGGGGAGCAAACAGGAUUAGAUACCCUGGUAGUCCACGCCGUAAACGAUGAGUGCUUGGUGUAGCGGGUAUCGACCCCUGCUGUGCCGAAGUCAACACAUUAAGCACUCCGCCUGGGGAGUACGGUCGCAAGACUG